rnacentral:rRNA from 1 species
GACAGAGGGUGCAAACGUUGUUCGGAAUUACUGGGCGUAAAGAGCUCGUAGGUGGUUUGUCGCGUUGUCCGUGAAAACUCACAACUCAAUUGUGGGCGUGCGGGCGAUACGGGCAGACUGGAGUACUGCAGGGGAGACUGGAAUUCCUGGUGUAGCGGUGGAAUGCGCAGAUAUCAGGAGGAACACCGGUGGCGAAGGCGGGUCUCUGGGCAGUAACUGACGCUGAGGAGCGAAAGCGUGGGGAGCGAACAGG